UCCGAGUUGACCCCGGCAGUCUCCUAUGAGUCCCCGCCAUAACGCGCUGGCAACAUAGAACGAGGGUUGCGCUCGUUGCGGGACUUAACCCAACAUCUCACGACACGAGCUGAUGACAACCAUGCACCACCUGUACACCGCCCUUGCGGACCCCGUAUCUCUACGGCUUUUCCCUACAUGUCAAGCCUUGGUAAGGUUCUUCGCGUUGCAUCGAAUUAAGCAACAUGCUCCGCCGCUUGUGCGGGCCCCCGUCAAUUCCUUUGAGUUUUAACCUUGCGGCCGUACUCCCCAGGCGGAUGACUUAAUGCGUUAGCUGCGCCACCGAAAGCCUAAGGCCCCCGACAGCUAGUCAUCAUCGUUUACGGCGUGGACUAC
rnacentral:misc_RNA from 1 species